UAGGGAAUCUUCGGCAAUGGACGAAUGUCUGACCGAGCAACGCCGCGUGAGUGCAGAAGGUUUUCGGAUCGUAAAACUCUGUUGUUUGAGAAGAACAAGGACGUUAGUAACUGAACGUCCCCUGACGGUAUCUAACCAGAAAGCCACGGCUAACUACGUGCCAGCAGCCGCGGUAAUACGUAGGUGGCAAGCGUUGUCCGGCAUUAUUGGGCGUAAAGCGAGCGCAGGCGGUUUCUUAAGUCUGAUGUGAAAGCCCCCGGCUCAACCGGAGAGGGUCAUUGGAAACUUGGAGACUGGAGUGCAGAAGAGGAGAGUGUAAUUCCAUGUGUAGCGGUGAAAUGCGUAGAUAUAUGGAGGAACACCAGUGGCGAAGGCGGCUGUCUGGUCUGUAACUGACGCUGAGGCUCGAAAGCGUGGGGAGCAAACAGG
rnacentral:rRNA from 1 species